UGUAGGAGCGAGCUUGCUCGCGAUCCAGGCACUGCGGUCUGCCCUGGAACCGCAGAGACGCCAUCGCGAGCAAGCUCGCUCCUACA
rnacentral:misc_RNA from 1 species